ACGCUCGACACCUACGGGGGCAGCAGUAGGGAAUCUUCCACAAUGGACGCAAGUCUGAUGGAGCAACGCCGCGUGAGUGAAGAAGGUCUUCGGAUCGUAAAACUCUGUUGUUAGAGAAGAACACGAGUGAGAGUAACUGUUCAUUCGAUGACGGUAUCUAACCAGCAAGUCACGGCUAACUACGUGCUAGCAGCCGCGGUAAUCUGAGCGGGCUGGCAAGGC
rnacentral:rRNA from 1 species